UUUUUUUUUUUUUUUUUAAUAACAUCCUAAUUAGGAGACUUACCCUUACUAUAUUUCAUAGUCAGUUUGACCCAAGAGAAGCUUGAUGGUUAAGUUUCAAUAACUGGACAAAUAUGCCAUAUACUCUCACAAUUCCCUGAAAUCCCUAUUCCUCUCCCUAGGUAACACAUUACACUGUCUCCUCUUCCCUUCACAAUCUCCAGUGUCCCCACCGUCUCUCUGGCGGCUCCUUUAGACAGAGCGCAUCACCGAAGAACAAGAAGCCACCAAUGCUCCUUCACCUCCCACAGGUUUCUCAGAACUCUCCAGGCUGCCUGGAUAGUUUUAAGGCCCUAGUAUUGUGUGGGGGGAUGCUGCUGAAUUUAGACUUAUCUGGCACAAGGAAGAGAGAUGCAUCCAUAGUCACUGAGGUAGGGAUUAUAAUGAGCAAUAAGGGGAUCCUCACAUUAAUCUGAAUAUUUCUUCAAAACUUCCUAUCAGGCAGCUUCAUUCUCUAUUAUUUGAGCCUACUUCCAUCUUUCCCCCCUUCGUUUCACUGAUUUGUAAUCUUAACUAUUUCUGAAUCACAUUUAAAUCAUUUUCUUCUCGUAUUAAAUUCCUGUCACUUAAUUUUUAAGACAGGCACAUAACAUUUUAAAAGCAUGAAACUGUAUUAACCAUUUGCAAAUUUUCACAUAUGAGGGCUCCUGCCAGUAUGUGAUCUUAAGCCAAAACAAAGUCUAAUGUUUAAAAGGACCCUUUUGAAACAGGUUUCAAAAGCAGGGACAUUAGGUCUUUAAAAACUUUCUAUUUCUGGUUUACACUGACAAAGUAUAUCCUCCUGCUUUCUCCAAGAAGAAAUUACAGUUUGGCAGCAGGUAAGAGGGAGAAAGUUUCUCACACAAAUGAGUGGCAAGAAAAAAGUUACUUUAUUCUUCCUUUUAGAGGCAAGCAACUUAAUGUCAUUGAUUAUAUGCGAUCUUUGAACAUCUAACAUGCAUAAGGUCUGUAAAAAUUUGCUAAAUGUUUUUUUUUUUUUCAUUUCAACUCAUGACUUUCCAAAAUCAUAGAAAGUAAUUUCACAAAAGACUGAGUUUGAGGGACGCCUGGGUGGCUCAACGGUUAAAACGUCUGCCUUCAGCUCAGGGUGUGACCCUGGGGACCCGGGAUGGAGUCCCAGGUGGGUCUCCCUGCAUGGAGCCUGCUUCUCCCUCUGCCUGUGUCUCUGCCUCUGUGUGUGUGUGUUUCUCACGGAUAAACAAAUAAAAUCUUAAAAGAAAAAAAAAGAAAAGAAAAAGAAAAAGACUGAUCUUGGGGUAACUAUGUGAAUUAGGAGUACUAAAUUAAAGCCAGAGUCAGUUAAUCGUAGUUGCAACCUGCGGUAAAAUCUUGCUGCUUAGGGCAGCCUGGAUGACUCUGCGGAUUAGCGCCGCCUUCAGCCCAGGGCGUGACCUGAAGACCCAGGAUCGAGUCCCACGUCGGGCUCCCUGCAUGGAGCCUGCUUCUCCCUCUGCCUCUCUGUCUCUCUGAAUAAAUCUAAAACUUACAAAAAAAAAAAACUCUCUAGUUUAAACCGAUCAGUCCAUUUCAGCUCUCUCAGGUCAACGAACCUCUUCCAAUGGUUUCCGAAUUCAUUUCUCGCCACUGCGACUUGAACCAAAAAACCACAGAAAUGCUUCUACAGCUAAAAUGUAGAAACGAAAAAAAAUAAAAUAAAAAUAAAAAAAUAAAUAAAAAAUAAAAAAAUAGUCCCCCGUCGGGGUCCCUGCAUGGAGCCUGCUUCUUCUCUCUCUGCCUGUGUCUGCCUCUCUCUCUCUCUCUGUGUCUCUAUGAAUAAAUAAAUAAAAUCUUAAAAAAAUAAAAAAACAAAAUAAAAAAUAAAAUGUAGAAACAAAAAAUAAAUAAAUAAAUAAAUAAAUAAAUAAAUAAAUAAAUAAUUUUAAAAAGUCCCCCGUCGGGCUCCCUGCAUGGAGCCUGCUUCUCCCUCUGCCUGUGUCUCUGCCUCUCUCUCUGUGUCUCUUUGAAUAAAUAAAUAAAAUCUUAAAAAAAUAAAAAAAAACAAAAUAAAAAAUAAAAUGUAGGAAAAAGAAAAAAAAAAAAGUCCCCCGUCGGGCUCCCUGCAUGGAGCCUGCUUCUCCCUCUGUGUCUCUGUCCCUAUCUCUCUCUCUGUGUCUCUAUGAAUAAAUAAAUAAAAUCUUUAAAAAAAAUAAAAAUAAAAUAAAAAAUAAAAUGUAGAAACAAAAAAUAAAUAAAUAAUAAAAAUAUAGUCCCACGUCGGGCUCCCUGCAUGGAGCCUGCUUCUCCCUCUGCCUGUGUCUCUGUCCCUCUCUCUCUCUGUGUGUCUCUAUGAAUAAAUAAAUAAAAUCGUUAAAAAAAUAAAGUGUAGAAACGCCCUUACUUGACAUCUACCUUACUUGUUGUCUCAUGUUCAAAAAGAACUCAACCCUGC
rnacentral:lncRNA from 1 species